rnacentral:lncRNA from 1 species
UCUAGUGCAGAUGUCUGUGCAUGGCCAGUACACCGACCGCCGCGCCCGCAUCGUCGAAAGGGUCCGCGACUUGACUGCCACGCGCUCGCGCCAAGAGGAGCAAGCCGCUCUCUUUUACGAGCGGGGGGGGGGGACAAGUCGGAGCGACCGGGCACGCAUCCUACACUGAUGAUACAGUGGUGUCGGCAAUCGACGAGGACACACCCAUGGACGAGGCGGUGGACGAGGACGGCCGUGGCAUGAGUCACGAUGCCCUGAUGCAAUUUCGCCAAGGGACGAGGUUGUGGCGUCUGAGCGACUGCAGGACCCUCGCCGAAGAGGGGCACUCUUUCCAUUGGCCGUGAAAUAAAUCACAUGCAAAGGACGUCCCAUUGCCGACGCCAUCAAUGUUUUUUGUUGAGAAAACAUAUAUGGACCCCAUU